CUGAUGGCUGUGGUGAGAAGCAGUUUUAGCAACGGGUACAUUUAACGUUACAUAUUUAGACCAGUGGUGGCGGCGAAGAAGGGGGUCUCGACGGACGCGUUUUAAACUGAAAAUAUAGCUAAAGAAGUCUGUGCUGACAAAACGUAAAUUCUGAGCGAAAACAGGGCUUAUGUUCACCCUAGCUGUAAAGGCCCAGACGCUGGACCAGCACAAAGUCUUCUUGCAGAGGCUCGUUUUGUCGAGGGCCAGGGUUCACUGUGGAGGAGAUGGACCGCAUGACCCAUUGAGACAUCAGCGUCCCAAAAAAGCUUGAGUGGAAAGGUCAAUAGACGAAGAUGUCUCCCCUCAGUAUUAAACCAGUCUUCACUACAUCUCCCCGGAGCAGCUGCCUAGCCACUGGACGAUGAGAAGACAGAAGUGAGGGGAGGUGGUCAGUGUUCUUCUUUUGACAGCCCACAUUCGGCGGUUACAAUGCUAAAGAAAAGGAGGCCUCGCUGGUGGGUGUCAGAAACAAAGCACGGGCAGAUAUGCCGCUCGACUGAGCUGAAUGCAUCUAAGCAUAGAGACGACAGCUCCCAUCCUGCAUCCAUCAAAGAAUUCCACAACUCACUCCUCCAGGGGUCAGAGAUGAUCAGAAGGCGUGUACACUGGAUACUGUCACACACACAUAUGCAGUGACUAAGCUCAGUCUUAGUGUGAGCACCAAGUGUAAACACACCAGGGAACAACACGUCACUAAAGGAGGCUCUCAAAAUCGUCUUCUGUGAUGACCUGGGCCUCAACAUGGACUUUCUUGGUGUUUCUCUUUUUGUAAUCGACCCGGGUCAAGAUCUCUGCAAGGUCAGGCGGAAUCAGUCCUGCUGUCACCAAGGGAUGAUCCAGAUGAGCAGAGGUUUCUGAAGUGGGCGGUUGGGAGGAUGCAGAGGGUGUCACUGGAGAGGAGAGUGAUGGUGACUCCACGGUCUUCAAAAUAAAAGUUUACACCCACAUAAAACACUGCUGAAAAGUAUCUUUUUAGUUUCAGCUUAUUGUAAUUGUAAUAAAAGACUUUUGAAUGUGAGAUUUAUAAAUGUAAAAUAAUAUAAAAUAUAAAGCUAAUUCAUACAGAGACAAUAAAAAAGUGUGAGAAGAGUA